rnacentral:misc_RNA from 1 species
UAAUUUGAUCCAAGUUUGCGUGGGUGAUGAUCAAGAAAAAUUUGGACAGAAUUGAUGGAUAGUUAUGCAAGUUUAGUGUCUUUUUUUCAUCUAGGACAAAUCUGAAUAGUUUUAUUUAAUUUUUUUUUUGUCAGAUAUGUGUUUUGGGCCUUACUUAUGUGUUUUUGGGCCUUAAGUAGGAGUGCAGCCCACUCCAGGUUUUUUAUUAGUUUUAGGGUUUUAUUUAUUUUUUUUAAGUUUAGGGAAUUAGGGUUUCAACCGCAUAUAUAAGGCUAACUUAAUACUUUUUGAGGGGAACAUUACUUUUGAUUAAAUUAAUACAAGAGAGAGAUUUUUCCUAAGUUCUUUCUUAAACUAAAUUAAAUUCUUCAAGAGUGAUUAAUCUUGUAGGAUUUAACAAUUUUUGAUAAUCUUAGUUCUUGUUUGAUUAUAAAUUUUGGGUUAAGAAUCCUUAAUUCUACCUUUGA